rnacentral:rRNA from 1 species
UGGCAGACGGGUGAGUAACGCGUGGGAAUCUACCCUUCUCUACGGAAUAGCUCCGGGAAACUGGAAUUAAUACCGUAUACGUCCUUAGGGAGAAAGAUUUAUCGGGGAAGGAUGAGCCCGCGUUGGAUUAGCUAGUUGGUGGGGUAAAGGCCUACCAAGGCGACGAUCCAUAGCUGGUCUGAGAGGAUGACCAGCCACAUUGGGACUGAGACACGGCCCAAACUCCUACGGGAGGCAGCAGUGGGGAAUAUUGGACAAUGGGCGCAAGCCUGAUCCAGCCAUGCCGCGUGAGUGAUGAAGGUCUUAGGAUUGUAAAGCUCUUUCAGUGGGGACGAUAAUGACGGUACCCACAGAAGAAGCCCCGGCUAACUUCGUGCCAGCAGCCGCGGUAAUACGAAGGGGGCUAGCGUUGUUCGGAAUUACUGGGCGUAAAGCGCACGUAGGCGGAUAUUUAAGUCGGGGGUGAAAUCCCGGGGCUCAACCCCGGAACUGCCUUCGAUAC